GGAUUAGGCAUGCAAGUCGAACGAGGAAGUGCCCCGUAAGGGGCGCAAGCCUAGUGGCGAAAGGGUGAGUAAUGCAUUGAUAACCUGCCUUUGAGAUGGGAAUAACUGCGUUUCGAGCAAUCGGAACUACCGAAAGGGCUGCUAAUACCCAAUAAUACUAUAGGUGCAAAAGCACUUGUGGUCAAAUGCUAGGAAUUCUGUUCCUUGUGCUUAAAGAGGGGUUAAUGUCCUAUCAGCUAGUUGGUGGGGUAAUGGCCUACCAAGGCAAAGACGGGUAGCCGGCUUGAGAGGGUGGUCGGCCACACUGGGACUGAGACACUGCCCAGACUCCUACGGGAGGCUGCAGUCGAGAAUCUUUCGCAAUGCCCGAAAGGGUGACGAAGCGACGCCGCGUGUGGGAAGAAGGCCUUCGGGUUGUAAACCACUGUCGGGAGUUAGGAAAUGCAGGUGCGUUAAUAGCGCACUUGCUUGACUAAGGCUCCAGAGGAAGCCACGGCUAACUCUGUGCCAGCAGCCGCGGUAAUACAGAGGCGGCAAGCGUUGUUCGGAAUUAUUGGGCGUAAAGAGCACGUAGGCGGCUGUGUAAGUCGGUUGUGAAAGCCUUCCGCUCAACGGAAGAAGCGCAUCCGAUACUGCAUAGCUCGAGUGCGGGAGGGGAGAGUGGAACUUCUGGUGGAGCGGUGAAAUGCGUAGAUAUCAGAAGGAACACCGGCGGCGAAGGCGACUCUCUGGUCCGUAACUGACGCUGAGUGUGCGAAAGCUAGGGGAGCAAACGGGAUUAGAUACCCCGGUAGUCCUAGCCGUAAACGAUGGGCACUAAGUAGAGGGGUUUU
rnacentral:rRNA from 1 species